GCAAGUCGAGCGGUAAGGCCCUUCGGGGUACACGAGCGGCGAACGGGUGAGUAACACGUGAGCAACCUGCCCCUGACUCUGGGAUAAGCGGUGGAAACGCCGUCUAAUACCGGAUACGACCCACCACCUCAUGGUGGAGGGUGGAAAGUUUUAUCGGUCAGGGAUGGGCUCGCGGCCUAUCAGCUUGUUGGUGGGGUAACGGCCUACCAAGGCGAUUACGGGUAGCCGGCCUGAGAGGGCGACCGGCCACACUGGGACUGAGACACGGCCCAGACUCCUGCGGGAGGCAGCAGUGGGGAAUAUUGCACAAUGGGCGAAAGCCUGAUGCAGCGACGCCGCGUGGGGGAUGACGGCCUUCGGGUUGUAAACCUCUUUUACCACCAACGCAGGCUCCACGUUCUCGUGGGGUUGACGGUAGGUGGGGAAUAAGGACCGGCUAACUACGUGCCAGCAGCCGCGGUAAUACGUAGGGUCCGAGCGUUGUCCGGAAUUAUUGGGCGUAAAGAGCUCGUAGGCGGCAUGUCGCGUCUGCUGUGAAAAGACCGGGGCUUAACUCCGGUUCUGCAGUGGAUACGGGCAUGCUAGAGGUAGGUAGGGGAGACUGGAAUUUCCUGGUGUAGCGGUGAAAUGCGCAGAUUAUCAAGGAGGAACACCCGGUUGGCGAAGGCGGG
rnacentral:rRNA from 1 species